rnacentral:rRNA from 1 species
UACGAAGGGUCCAAGCGUUAUCCGGAUUUAUUGGGUUUAAAGGGUGCGUAGGCGGGUUGUUAAGUCAGUGGUGAAAUCUUGCAGCUUAACUGUAAAAUUGCCAUUGAUACUGACGAUCUUGAGUACACUUGAAGUGGGCGGAAUAUGUCAUGUAGAGGUGAAAUUCUUAGAGAUGACAUAGAACACCGAUUGCGAAGGCAGCUCACUAAAUUGUAACUGACGCUGAGGCACGAAAGCGUGGGGAGCGAACAGG